AGGUGAACAUUCUAGAUGAGGUUAAUUCUAUACUGAGAACAUACUGUAGGUGAACAUUCUAGAUGAUGUUAAUUCUAUACUGAGAACAUACCGUAGGUGAACAUUCUAGAUGAUGUUAAUUCUAUACUGAGAACAUACCGUAGGUGAACAUUCUAGAUGAUGUU